rnacentral:lncRNA from 1 species
GUGGAGGAAAGGUCACGUACCAGCUUACUCCUCUAUACCAACAGAGCACGACUCAGGACCCAGGGCUGUGCAGAGAGGAGGGAGAGAUAGACGGAGCUCAGUUAGCAGAAAGGCAUGAACUUUAGGGUCAGGGGUGGGAACUAUCUAGAAACAGACUAUUCAUACAUCACCUGCUACAACAAGAACCUCCAGGACAGAUCCUGAACAACUUUCUAACCAAGAGAGAGACGUGUAUGUGUGAUGCUAACAGGCAUGGUUCCUCUUGUGGCUACAGAAGCCAGGCUACUGGACCAUGGAGAGGACCCAGCAGUCUUCUAUUUCGUGGCUUUCCCCCGGCCCUGUUCUUUCUAUCUGCAGGGGACCUGGAUUCGGUGAAUUCAGCUGCAUCCAGAGGAUGACAGUGCAACCAUCAGAAAGUAAAGACACCAGCUACAUGUGUAUCCUUACAAAGAUAAAAGAUAUGCAGCUUUCUCAGACAAAAGCCCACAGAAGAGACAGUGCCACUGUGAGAGUGAAAAGCACAUGCAGGUGUGUACAACAGCCACACACACUGUCCACCAUCCUCCAGAGAGCUCCAACAGGAUGUGCAGAGAUGGCAGUAUGCCUCCAUAACAAAGGGUUCUCAGAGAGGAGCUGGGAUCCAGAAGCAAUUUCUGCGCAGGACUGCCCAAGACUAGCUCUUCCGAAGCUACGCACACAGACCCUGCCUCCCCAUGGCUUCUACAGCUCCACCUCCCACUUACUUGGUGGAACUAAACACAGCCUAAGAUCCUACCUACA